ACAUCCAAGGGCGUGACAGCUAGUGCAGAUAGGAAAGACUCCCCACUGAAAAAGGGACAUGCUGGAUUUUAAAAGGGGGACCAUUAGCAAUUUUGUCACCAUUCGUUAGUAAGGAGAGACAUAAAAAAGAAAAUAUAGAAAGAAAGGAUGGGGGGUUUUCGGUGGACUCUCUCUCUGGCUCACAAUAAAGAAACAGAAGUUGAAACAAAAAGGGAGGACUCCCUAUCACUUUCAGAAAAAGAAAAACAAAAAAAGGAAAAAAAAUCAUUUUUCUUCUUUCCCACAACACCAACACAGAUCAAUUCCGG
rnacentral:lncRNA from 1 species